AGGCCCACUGGGGCUCAAAGGGGGGUUCUGCUGUCACACCUGUGGGCACACCAAGGCUUGCAGGAGCGGUCCACUGCCGCGCCCUGGGGCCCGCCAGGUCUGGAAGGUGAGAGUCCACUGCUGCGCCCUGGGGCCUGCCGGACUCGCCAGUAGGGGUCCACGGCUGCGACUGUGGGCCCGCCAGCACUUGCAGGUGCUGCCACUAAACCUGCCAGGUGAACUCCAGCGGGACUGCAGGAGCUGCCGCGGACCCUGCCUGGUGAACUUCAGCGGUCCUUGGCUGCCACAGUGGACCCCGCCUGGCAUCCCCCAGUGGGCCCCCAGAGGACGCCGGGCCCAUGCCUCCGGGUGCUGCCAUGGAUCCUGACCAGUGACCCCCAGAGGACCCCCAGGAGCAGCUCAGGGGCCCCACCGGACUCCUGGGCUCCACUGCAGGGCCUGGCAGGACUCAGCGCCCAAGGGGUCCACCUGGGGGCCCGGCUGGACUCGGCAGGACUUGGCACCUGGGCUCCGCCGCGGUGUCCAUGGGCUUGAAAGAUGCUUACCCCGAUAGCUGAGACACUGGUUUGUACAGGUGAGGAGGAAGAUCAAUUCUCUUUAAAUUGGUGGACCUCUUCAGAAAGUUUCUCAACAGCCAAGAUGCAGACCUGUAGGGAAGAGGACAGGCUUUCUUCAUACUACUUUUGAUGUGCCUAUUGUGAGAACAGCAUUUCUUUUAUGAACAGCACAUUCUUACAAUUUCCACUUAGUGAAAGUAACGAUCAUGCCACUAGUAUCUAUCUAGAUCUGUUUCUACUUACAACAAGGCAAUUUUUGAAUUUACA